GGGGUUCCUGGCAUCGUGAUUUGUGCUGCGAAGGAAAAUCACAUUGCCAGGGAUUACCAC
rnacentral:pre_miRNA from 1 species